rnacentral:rRNA from 1 species
GAGUUUGAUCGUGGCUCAGAUUGAACGCCGGCGGCAGGCCUAACACAUGCAAGUCGGGCGGUAGAGAGAGGCUUGCUUCUCUUGAGAGCGGCGGACGGGUGAGUAAUGCCUAGGAAUCUGCCUGGUAGUGGGGGAUAACGCUCGGAAACGGACGCUAAUACCGCAUACGUCCUACGGGAGAAAGCAGGGGACCUUCGGGCCUUGCGCUAUCAGAUGAGCCUAGGUCGGAUUAGCUAGUUGGUGAGGUAAUGGCUCACCAAGGCGACGAUCCGUAACUGGUCUGAGAGGAUGAUCAGUCACACUGGAACUGAGACACGGUCCAGACUCCUACGGGAGGCAGCAGUGGGAAUAUUGGACAAUGGCGAAAGCCUGAUCCAGCCAUGCCGCGUGUGUGAAGAAGGUCUUCGGAUUGUAAAGCACUUUAAGUUGGAGGAAGGGCAGUAAAUUAAUACUUUGUCUGUUUUGACGUUACCGACAGAAUAAGCACCGGCUAACUCUGUGCCAGCAGCCGCC